CGGCUAACUCCGUGCCAGCAGCCGCGGUAAUACGGAGGAUCCAAGCGUUAUCCGGAAUCAUUGGGUUUAAAGGGUCCGCAGGCGGUCAAUUAAGUCAGAGGUGAAAUCCUACAGCUUAACUGUAGAACUGCCUUUGAUACUGGUUGACUUGAGUUAUUGUGAAGUAGAUAGAAUGUGUAGUGUAGCGGUGAAAUGCAUAGAUAUUACACAGAAUACCGAUUGCGAAGGCAGUCUACUACCUAUAUACUGACGCUCAUGGACGAAAGCGUGGGGAGCGAACAGGAUUAGAUACCCUGGUAGUCCACGCCGUAAACGAUGGACACUAGUUGUUGGAUUUACAUUCAGUGACUAAGCGAAAGUGAUAAGUGUCCCACCUGGGGAGUACGAUCGCACGAUUGAAACUCAAAUGAAUUGACGG
rnacentral:rRNA from 1 species